UCUCCACCUCCAGCGCGCCGCCGCCUCCUACCACGGCACGCCCCGCCUCACCGUGCCGGUCCACCCCCCCUCCCGCAUGGCUUCGAAGAUUGGAUCUGCCGGCUGCCCGCCCACUUUUUCCUUGAACGCAGGCUCUCCCGCCAAUCAUCACUGGCGGCGACGGUCGACACGAAGGGAGGAUGACGGCACGUGAAGAUGCCUCGGGGGGAGAGAAGGCAGAGACGAUGAACGACAUGGGAAUGUGGAGGAUGCAGCCUAUAGAUGGUUGCUCGGAUCUGGAGGUUGAUACUGAACAUGAGUUUACUAUGGAUCUGGAGUAGUAAUAUUGGAUUACAGGUCACAGGUUAGAAGUUAACUGCAGAAUAUUGAGCACGGGGAGCAGUUUUGGAGGUUUGAUGGUGUGCUUGAGCGAGGAUACCACACUGCCUGUCUUGGAUGGCCGGAACAUAUUGUUGGCCAUCUCACACUCAGGU